UCCGGCUUGACGCCGGCAGUCCCCCGAGAGUCCUCAGCAUGACCUGUUAGUAACACGGGGCAAGGGUUGCGCUCGUUGCGGGACUUAACCCAACAUCUCACGACACGAGCUGACGACAGCCAUGCAACACCUGUGUAGGGCCCUUGCGGACACCACAUCUCUGCGGCUUUUCCCUACAUGUCAAGCCCUGGUAAGGUUCUUCGCGUCGCGUCGAAUUAAUCCACAUGCUCCACCGCUUGUGCGGGUCCCCGUCAAUUCAUUUGAGUUUCAACCUUGCGGCCGUACUCCCCAGGCGGUCAACUUCACGCGUUAGCUUCGUUACCAAGGAAUUGCUUCCCCGACAACCAGUUGACAUAGUUUAGGGCGUGGACUAC
rnacentral:misc_RNA from 1 species